rnacentral:rRNA from 1 species
UAGGGAAUCUUCCACAAUGGACGAAAGUCUGAUGGAGCAACGCCGCGUGAGUGAAGAAGGUUUUCGGAUCGUAAAGCUCUGUUGUUGGUGAAGAAGGAUAGAGGCAGUAACUGGUCUUUAUUUGACGGUAAUCAACCAGAAAGUCACGGCUAACACGUGCCAC